CCCCCUCAGCCAGCGUGCAGUGAGCCACUGCGCACUGAGGCCUGGAGCAAGAGGCCGGCCAUGGCGGACCAAGCCAUCGUGGAGAUCUCGUGCACGAAGCUCAGAUCCGCCAUUGGCGAUGAGGCCACCAGCUUCACCGGCGACCUGCAGGAAAUGCUGGACACGCUGGUGGCCAUACAGGCGGUGAUGCCGAAUGCCGAGAGGGUGUUGGGCGGUUGGGAGUCGGAGCGCGGCAAGGAGUGAGCGAAGAAGGUCAGGGCCGCCGCCUACGGGGUCUCCGACCUGGUGGACGAGAUCAAGUUGGAAGCGCCGAGGACGCCGGCAGCCGGAAAGAUGACGAAGAAGGUCGACCUCCCUGCUGAGAACAAGAUGUCUGACAAGGUGAAGGAGAUUAAAGAAAACCUGAAAGGGGUACUGAAAGAGUCGAUUGAGUUCAAUGCAGUUCGUGCUCGAAGUCGUGCACCGAACCCAGUUACUACUGGUACUACUGCACCAGCACCACCAGGUGCCAUCAUUGGAAGGGAUGAAGAUAGGGAGAAGAUCCUUGCUCACAUAUCUUCGCGCUGCGCCACUGAAGGCCCCGUCAUUCUUCUCAUCUCCGGCGAUGGAGGCAUAGGCAAGACCGCAAUGGCAGAAAUGCUUUUCAAGGACACAAGAUUCAGAUGCCACUCUCGGGUGUGGGUCCACACCUCUCGCUACUUGCACGAAAUAGGCAGGUCUGUAAUUUGCCAAGUCUCUGGGAAAGAAGAGAUGAGCCAUGCUACUGAAGAUGACGUGGACAGUAUAACGGACCGCCUCCAUGAGCUGCUCAGUGGCAUCAAGGUGCUCAUCGUUUUAGAUGACCUGUACAUGUAUUACCAUGAGUGGGAGCCCUUGAAGAGGAUGUUCUCUGUAAGUGACAAGGGCAGUCAGGUGAUCGUGAUCGCAACAACACAACAAGAGAAGGAAGAUUCUGUGAUUCAGUCAUACAGUCUAGAACCUUUGCAUGAGGACAUGUGCUGCGCAAUCAUCAAGCAAAUUGCCCGCCGCUCCGAGGAUAGUAGAUCCACUAAUAGAGAAGAUUUGGAGCGGAUGGCACGAAAGAUUGCAGAGCUCUGCAAGGGUUUACCGUUAGCAGCUCAAUUACUUGGCCGCUUGCUGAAGUACAAACAUUUUGAAGAAUGGCCAGCACUACUGGAUGAAAGUCUCUGGUCAACAGACAGUCCUCUUGAUCUGGCCUUGGAAUUGAGCUACAGAAGCAUGCCACCAAAUUUAAGGCUAUGCUUAGCUUAUUGCGCCAUCUCAAACAUGCAGCCUUUUCGAGUCAAAGAAGAUGUCAUUCAUCAAUGGAUUGCUCUCGGUCUUAUUGAGCCAUCCAACAAUACAAUUUCUGCUAUGAAGCUCGCCGAGGAAUAUAUUGGGAGGCUUUUGGACAUGUCAUUCCUUCAAACUGCAAAAUUACAACAGGAUAGUGGAAAGGAUGACACAGGUGUAGUCGUGUUCAAGAUGCACGAGAGUAUCCGUGAGUUCGGACAUAAGGCUAUAGAAGCUGAGUUGGGGUUAGUAGAUGAUCAAGAGGAUGAAAAUGUGACUGAACACUGCCGAUAUGUACUCAUUGCCGAAUGUGACACCUGGCCAUCUAAGUCACUAAUGCAUGCCCAGAAAAUCUGCGCCAUAAAUUGCUUUCUCUGUAGCAAAAUGGAGCUAAGUGAUGAUUCAUUUUCAGUUCCCAGCUGUCUGCGUGUCUUGAAUUUAGAGAAGACGUCCGUACAGAAGCUACCACAUUCUGUCAUCUGGAGCAAUUAGGGUAUCUUAAUCUAUCAGGCUGCUCUAGAAUAGUUGAUCUUCCAGAAUAUUUUGGGAAUUUAAAGAAUCUGCUGCAUAUAAACUUAUCAGGCUGCUCUGAGCUGGUCAAUCUGCCUGAAUCAUUUGGAAUGCUAAAAAUUCUGCGGCACAUCAACUUAUCAGGCUGUUCUGGACUGGCAACUCUUGAUGAACCAUUUGUGAAGCUUAUAAAUCUGGUGCAUAUCGACUUAUCAGGUUGCUGCGCACUGAUAAAUCUGCCAGAAUUUUUCGGGAAGCUAGUAAAUUUGAUGCAUCUCAACUUAUCAGGUUGUUCUGGCCUAGUAGCUCUGCCGGGAUCAUUUGGAAUGCUAAUAAAGUUGGUGCAUAUCAGCUUAUCUGGCUGCUCUGGGCUAAAAAAACUGCCAGAAUCAUUUGGGAGGCUAACGAGUUUGGUUCACAUCAACUUAUCAGGUUGCUCUAGUCUAUCAACUCUACCCAAAUCUAUUGGGUAUCUAAGAAAUUUAUUGCAUAUUGAUCUGUCCCGCUGCUAUGGACUAUCAAAGCUGCCAAAAUCAUUUGGGAAGCUACAAAAAUUGGAGCAUAUUAGCUUGUCAGGUUGCUCUGGACUAGUAACUCUACCUGAAUCCUUUGGGGGUCUGACAAAUCUGUUGCAUAUUAAUCUGUCACACUGCUCUGGACUAUCAAAACUGCCAGAAUCAUUUAGAAACCUGAAAAAUUUGCUUUAUCUGGAUUUAUCGUUCUGGUCUUGUUUUGAAGGCAUCCAGAUAGCUCUUGGUGGCCUUACCAGUCUCCAACAUUUGAACUUGUCACACCCUUGCUGCUAUCGUGCUGACCACAUCCAUCUUGAAGGACUAAAAGAGGUUUUUCGCAAGCUUAAUAGACUCCAGUAUUUAAACCUAUCCAUGCUGCUGAAUCCUAUCUCUUACAACCAGCCAGAAGAGAAAAACUGUGAAUAUAUUGAAUCUAUCAACGGCUUGUACAGUCUAGAGCAUCUGGACUUAUCUCAUAACAUAUUUCUUCGUGAUCUACCUGAAAGUCUAAGUGAUCUCUAUAGGCUGCAUACACUGGACCUCUCAGGUUGCAUUAGACUGAAGAGAUUAGGAAAAUGGAUGACUGAAAUGGACUCUCUGAAAUCAGUAAUUCUAAGGGACUAUGAGGGUCUGGAAAGCUACCAGUUUGAAGUUGGUGUUGAUAAUAGUAUAAACAACUAUGUACAACUAGAGGAUGUAACUUCUAAAGUGUUGGAGAUAAGAUGUCUUGAGAGGAUCAAGUAUUUGGAGGAAGCAAAGAGAAUAAGAUUGGUAGAGAAGCGAAAGCUUCAGAAGUUGAAGCUUUGUUGGACCGUGGACUCUAAAUCUAGCACGUCUAUCGACGAGAAUAAAUCUGAGGUGGAGGAGAAUAAACCUAACAUGUCCGUGGAGGAAAAUAUACCUGACAGGUCCCUGGAGGAGAAUGAACAUAAGGGUUUGGUGCAAGACAAUAAACCUGACAUAUCCGAGGAGGAGAAUAAACCUGAGGAUUUUGUGCAGGAAAAUAAACCUGACAAGUCCAAGGAGGAGAAUAUACUUGAUAGGUCCCUGGAGGAGAAUGAACCUAAGGGUUCUACGCAUGAGAAUAAACCUAAGAGUUCUGUGCAGGAGAAUACAUGUAAAGAGUCUGAGAAGGAAAGUAUACCUGAUAGGUCCGUGGAAGAGAUUGAACAUGAGGGUCCUGCGCAGGAGGAUAUACUUAACAAGUCAAAGGAGGAGAAUAUACAUGAUAAAUAUGUCGAGGAGAUUAUUGAGGAUGAGGAUUCUACUGUGCAAGAGAAUAAACCUGACAGUUCCAAGGUGGAGAAUAAACCUAACAAGUCCGUGGAGGAGAAGGGUUCUGUGCAGGAGAAUAAACCUAACGAGCCAGAGGAGGAGAAUAUUAAUAUACCUGAUAGGUCCAUGGAGGAGAUUAAACAAGAGGGUUCUUUGCAAGAGGAUAAACCUAACAGGCCUGAGGAGGAGAAUAAACCUGACAAAUCUGUGGAGGAGAUUGUACCUAAGGGUUCUGUGCAGGAGAAUAAACCUGACAAAUCUGUGGAGAUUGUACCUGAGGGUUAUGUGCAGGAGAAUAAAUCUGACAAAUCUGUGGAGGAGAUUGUACCUGAGGGUUCUGUGCAGGAUAAUAAACCUGAUAGGUCCGUGGAUGAGAUUGAUUACUUUUAUGGUUGCAGGCGACCUAAUAGUCCCUUGAGGGAGGAUAAACCUGACGGUGCUGUUGAGGAGAAUGUUUUGCUAGGAGUACUAGUGCCACCACAAAAUCUGCAGUGCCUUGAGCUACAUGGUUAUAGCGGCAAAACCUGCCUUCCUUGCUGGUGGACCGAGGAGAGAUAUUCAGCUAAUCUCCUUAAUCUUGUGGAGGUUACCAUGGAGAACUUUCCUAGUUGCAGGACCCUGCCACCAUUUGGCAUGUUACCAAACCUGCAACAGUUAGUUCUCAGAAGGAUGGGCAGCAUCACGAGAAUCAACGCUAGUGACCUCAGUUGCAGCAAGAACAAUCGACUCAAGUGUACCAUAGAUGAUAUGCCUAGCCUGGAAGAGUUCAACACCACAUACAUCAGAGGUGAUAAAAAGUCUACGUUCUCAGCUAUUGAGGAACUGGUUGUACAAAAAUGUCCCUUGGUGAGGUUUGGGUCUCUCCCACCUAGAGCCCGGAGGUUGGUAAUAUCAGAAUGUGAUAGAGGGAUGAAUUUUUUGGGGGGAAAGCAAGACGAACAUAAGGAGAGCCCUUCUUGCACCUCUGCCCCACUAACUGAAUUGGUGGUCAAAAGCUGCAGUAUGCCUCUGGACCAGUGGAGUCUGCUUAACCACCUCUCUACCCUCCCCAGCUUAACUAUCGAGAAUUGCUCGCUAUAUGAUCUAUGUUUCUCUGGUAGUGACGACAAUAAUUCACGACCAGAGUACUUGGGUUACCUCACCUCUCUCCAGGAACUGAAGAUCGUGUCCUGUGAAGACGUUAGAUAUCCGACGCCUCUGCAGUGGCUCAUACAAAAACUGACCUCGCUUAAGUCGCUGCACUUCAUUGAUUGCAAGGAGUUAUGGGAACUUCCGGAGGAUUUAGGGGAUCUCACCUCUCUUCAGAAGCUUGCCUUCGAGAGAUGCCCUAGGAUUGAUUCUCUCCCGGACAGCAUAAGUAAACUCACCAACCUCAAGGAUCUGCAUAUUUCAGACUGUCCAAGAUUGAAGCGGUGGUGCGAAAACAAGGAGAACAAGAGCCGUCUCGGUCACCUCCGGACCAAAAUAUGAGUAUGCUCACAGAAUGCUUCUUGUUGGCGAGUCCCUUUAAUUGCAUGAUGCUUGCUGUUCACUGUCCACUCAUUUCCAACGGCCGUUCACACCUCUUUUUGCUUGUAGAUUGCAUUGCUGCUUUGGUUUCUCUGUAUAUUUGUAAGCCCUGUUACUGAAUGGAUCAAUCAACUAAUUAUCCAUGAGUAUCUUUACUA